GCCGGGUGCAGUGGCCCACUCCUGUCCUCCCAGCAACUCGGGAGGCUGAGGCAGGAGGAUCGUGAGUUCAAAGCCAGCCUCAGCAACUUAGCGAGGCCCUGAGCAACUCAGCGAGACCCUGUCUCUA
rnacentral:sRNA from 1 species